rfam:chromosome VIII of strain GB-M1 of Encephalitozoon cuniculi (Microspora)
GCCUCUGUAGCGCAGUGGUUAACGCGUUCGGCUGUUAACCGAAAGGUCGAGAGUUCGAGUCUCUCCAGGGGCG